rnacentral:rRNA from 1 species
GCUCAGGAUGAACGCUGGCGGCGUGCCUAACACAUGCAAGUCGAACGAAGCAAUUAAAGGAAGUUUUCGGAUGGAAUUUGAUCGACUGAGUGGCGGACGGGUGAGUAACGCGUGGAUAACCUGCCUCACACUGGGGGAUAACAGUUAGAAAUGACUGCUAAUACCGCAUAAGCGCACAGUGCCGCAUGGUACGGUGUGAAAAACUCCGGUGGUGUGAGAUGGAUCCGCGUCUGAUUAGCCAGUUGGCGGGGUAACGGCCCACCAAAGCGACGAUCAGUAGCCGACCUGAGAGGGUGACCGGCCACAUUGGGACUGAGACACGGCCCAAACUCCUACGGGAGGCAGCAGUA